rnacentral:snRNA from 1 species
UGUUUGCGAGCAAAUUGGAAGAAA